CAGGCCUAACACAUGCAAGUCGAGCGGACCAUUCCUUCGGGGAUGGUUAGCGGCGGACGGGUGAGUAACACGUAGGCAACCUGCCUGUAAGAUCGGGAUAACUACCGGAAAUGGUAGCUAAGACCGGAUAGCUGGUUUCUCCGCAUGGGGGAAUCAUGAAACACGGGGCAACCUGUGGCUUACGGAUGGGCCUGCGGCGCAUUAGCUAGUUGGUGGGGUAACGGCCCACCAAGGCGACGAUGCGUAGCCGACCUGAGAGGGUGAUCGGCCACACUGGGACUGAGACACGGCCCAGACUCCUACGGGAGGCAGCAGUAGGGAAUCUUCCGCAAUGGGCGCAAGCCUGACGGAGCAACGCCGCGUGAGUGAUGAAGGUUUUCGGAUCGUAAAGCUCUGUUGCCAAGGAAGAACGCCUCGGAGAGUAACUGCUCUGAGGGUGACGGUACUUGAGAAGAAAGCCCCGGCUAACUACGUGCCAGCAGCCGCGGUAAUACGUAGGGGGCAAGCGCUGUCCGGAAUUAUUGGGCGUAAAGCGCGCGCAGGCGGUCUUUUAAGUUUGGUGUUUAAGCCCGGGGCUCAACCCCGGUUCGCACUGAAAACUGGGAGACUUGAGUGCAGGAGAGGAAAGCGGAAUUCCACGUGUAGCGGUGAAAUGCGUAGAGAUGUGGAGGAACACCAGUGGCGAAGGCGGCUUUCUGGACUGUAACUGACGCUGAGGCGCGAAAGCGUGGGGAGCAAACAGGAUUAGAU
rnacentral:rRNA from 1 species